rnacentral:rRNA from 1 species
UAGAGUUUGAUUAUGGCUCAGGACGAAGCUGGCGGCGUGCCUAAUGCAUGCAAGUCGAACGCAGCGGCCUUGUGCCGCUGCGUGGCGAACGGCUGAGGAACACGUGGGCAACCACCCCCGGAGUGGGGAUACCCCGUCGAAAGACGGGACAAUCCCGCAUACGCUCUACGGAGGAAGCCGCAAGGCGCUCCGGGACGGGCCUGCGGCCCAUCAGGUAGUUGGUUGGUAACGGCGCACCAAGCCAAUGACGGGUCCCCGGUCUGAGAGGACGACGGGCAGACUGGGACUGCGACACGGCCCAGACUCCUACGGGAGGCAGCACAAGGAAUUUUCCCCAAUGGGCGCAAGCCUGAGGGAGCAACGCCGCGUGAGGACGACGGCCUUCGGGUUGUAAACUCCUUUCGGGCGGGACGAUAAUGCGGUACCGCCAGAAGCAGCCCCGGCUAACUCUGUGCCAGCAGCCGCGGUAGACAGAGGGGGCAAGCGUUGUCCGGAGUUACUGGGCGUAAAGGGCGCGAGGCGGUCUGCUGCGUCGGCGCUGAAAGCGCCCCGCUUAACGGGGCGAGCGCGCCGAUACGAGCAGGCUGGAGGCGAGCAGAGGGCGGCGGAAUUCCGGUGGAGCGGUGAAAUGCGUAGAGAUCCGGAGGAACGCCAGUGGAGAAGUGGCCGCCUGGGCUCGACCUGACGCUGCGGCGCGACAGCGUGGGGAGCAACCGGAUUAGAUACCCGGGUAGUCCACGCCGUAAACGAUGCCGGCUCGGCUUUGGCGCGCGCGAGCGCGCUGGGCGCCUUAGCUCACGCGGUAAGCCGGCGCCUGGGGACUACGAGCGCAAGCUUAAAACUCAAAUGAAUUGACGGGG